UGUUGGAAUAUUUUAAAAUUCCAAUUCUGCCCUUCUUUGCUUUUUGCCUUUUUGUUUAGUGUACUUCCUUUAGUCCCACAUUGGAAAGAGAUAAAACUUAAAAGGUCUUUAUGUAGUAUUCAGCCUUUCUAACUUGGUGAAGCAAAGAAAGUAGGUAGCCCACGCGCGCAUGAGCCCAAUGGAGGUCCAAGCCAAAAUUGGCGAAUCCGAUCCGGAAACGUUUAACCGGGCGCCUCUUUAUUUCUUUUUUAAACCCCAUCAGAUCCGAUAGAGUUAUCUAAUAAAAAUCUCUCCUCUCUCUGGCUCUCUGGCCUCCCUCUGGUUCCCGAAAGCCNN
rnacentral:lncRNA from 1 species